UAUAUAUAUUUAAUAUAUAAAAGACAUUCUCUUUGUACAGGUAAGGUACUACAAAGAGUUUUUUGCCAGUUUCAACCAUAAGGUUUAGGGCGCAAUAUGCUGAGUAUGCGAGCUCUCUUCUUUACUUGUUACUAUACUAUACUCUUUUUAUUUCACUUUCCACAAGACGGCUAGCAUUCGGUAAAGUUCAAUAAACUGUAGCACAGUUUCCUUAUAUUCCGCAGGGACUAGAAUACCUGUGGUAUAAAUAGCAAAACUGUUACCAUGUAGGCGAGCAGGGCACACGUGAGGAGAUCUCUUUCUCCCCUGGCUGCUAUUCUUGUUUUUUGUUGAGUCACACUUGGUUAUGACGUCCUUUUCCUUUUUCCCGUCCAACAAUUUUAGAUGGUGAGAAAUGACAGGGUUUGACGGGAAGCUGAAUUUCCUCGUCGCCCAGGCUCUCAACUACAUCAAUGUAGACACCCCAAAACCCAAAGUUUCACCCAAUGCUUAGAACUGUGAAAAUGAUUUACUUUGCGAGAGCUUGUUUUUCGGAUUAAUUUGAUACCGAGAUUAUAAAAUUCGAAGUUACAACAUUUUGAACGUUUUUAUGGUUCUGCCAUUUUCCCAUCUCCUUUGAUAUUGAAUGAAAAGCCAUUUUUGGGGUUCACUCAAACAAAAUCCAGAAUUUUAAGUGCACCUGCUCUGUUUUGUCAUAUAUUUCUUCAUACCUCGUACUUCACAACCGUACAAAGUCCAAGUGCUCAUAAUCUUUUACCUGACCACCUUGCUCUGGAAGUGAGCCUUGCUACUUUACAACAUAGGUUUUCAAUAAACUUUGACCAUGACAAGUGAGAAGAAUAUAUCGCCCCUUGGUAGCUAAAGUACGUUGUUAUUUUAAUGCUUUCCUUUUUGUACAAUGCUCUUUCCGAAUGCUUUACUGCACCUCCAUUUCUAAAAACUCUCUUUUUGCUUUUCCAGAUUUACAGACAGUGGAGAGAGAGAGAGGAAGACACACCCCCACCCCUCUUUAGCCCUGCACAUGGGGGGUAUUGUUUUGUAGUGUAGUGUGCCCAACACUGGCUCUCCCUCCCUCUUCAAAUCUCGUGUAGCGUAUUGUGACCAGUUGCACCAUUUUAUUGCCUGUUAAUCUCCUGUUGUCUUCAGUUGGACCAACAAUCGAAAAACAAACCACUAGAUUGAGGCGUCCCAUCCCAUACCAGACAUCCUGUUGCGUGAUCAGGAGGAACUCUCAUCAGCUUGAUGUUGUCCGUGCUGUCGGUGGUGGCCACAUUGAGCACUUGUAAAACAUGAAAUAAAAACGUGAAAGGGCCAAAGAACGAUACAUCCAAUGGCUGACAUUUGUCCGUGCUGUUGGGGGGCAGGAGGACGACCCGGAUGUUAUGAUCACCGCACUUAUCUAUCACUGGACCACUAAGGUUGGAGCUGAGGUUGUCUCCGAUGAUGACUUUCGGACCCUCUCGCCGACGAGCCCUGGGCACAACGAUUGUUAAAGACCAUUCCUCAAAGUUCUCUCCAUCCAUCCACCCACUCUUACUUCUGCUGAAUCUUGUUCCUUUAGGUCCCCCAUUGCACCAAGAUUCUCACAAAUGUGUGGCUUUGUAUACAACAAAUGGAGUCAUCAUUUCACCAUCUGCAGUGCCUGCAAACAUUACUGAAAUGUUACCCUUUGAAAAAUGUAUCACCCUUCCUGGGUAUUUCUCGCCCCUCCUAGAUAUAAUAUGCAUUUCUUCCUCCGCGGUUCAUCCGCUAAAUUUUGUCUCAUCAUUGUUCAGAAUAUUGCCUAAUGGCACAGCAUCCAAAGAAGUCUUGAAUUAUCAAAAUACUUCACCUCCUCUGGAUUGACCACAGCCCUUGCCCUCUUUAUAGUUUGGCACAUCCUGUUUGACAGCACUUCAUGACGUUUAAUGAACUGGUUGACCCAGUCAUCACUAGGUGUGUUGUCUUUAAAGACGGAAACUGUCUGCUCAGUACUCCUCAAAUGCUGUUUCACAAUAAGUUUUACGUCACUUUUCUCAAGGGGUAUGCCGUAGUCAGCACAGACAAGGAGAUGGUUUACAAGUUCUUCCUCCACCUCAGCAGAGAGGGCUGUCUGACACCAAGUUUUUUUUAACCUGUCACUGUCAGUACUUUCACCCAUGCUUGAUAGUCGAGGCAGACUUUAUGCUGUUGAAGCUAGAGAGGGGACUAAAGACUCCAUUGGGUUCACUUCUUCCUGUCUCUUGGUUACUAUACAAAAUGUUAAAUUAAUUUAUAUUGAGUAUAAUGAGAGGUGUCAUAAAAUUGUACAUUUGUGAUUGUAAAUCCAAUUUAACUUUGAAUUUGAGUUGUAGACCUUGGUCUUGGUAGGAUGACUGUUGAUGUUUUUAAAAAAUCAAAAUAAAGUAUUUUUUCAGUGAUGCAAA